rnacentral:sRNA from 1 species
GCUGGGCAUAGUGGCGCAGGCCUGUAAUUCCAGCAUUCAGGAGGCUGAGACAGGAGGAUCGUAAGUUCAAAGCCAGCCUCAGCAAAAGUGAGGUGCUAAGCAACUCAGUGGACCCUGCCUCUA